UGGGGAAUUUUGGGCAAUGGGCGAAAGCCUGACCCAGCAACGCCGCGUGAAGGAUGAAGUCUCUCGGGAUGUAAACUUCGUAAGAAUAGGAAGAAUAAAUGACGGUACUAUUUGUAAGGUCCGGCUAACUACGUGCCAGCAGCCGCGGUAAUACGUAGGGACCAAGCGUUGUUCGGAUUUACUGGGCGUAAAGGGCGCGUAGGCGGCGUGGUAAGUCACUUGUGAAAUCUCCGAGCUUAACUCGGAACGGUCAAGUGAUACUGCUGUGCUAGAGUACAGAAGGGGCAAUCGGAAUUCUUGGUGUAGCGGUGAAAUGCGUAGAUAUCAAGAGGAACACCUGAGGUGAAGACGGGUUGCUGGGCUGAUACUGACGCUGAGGCGCGAAAGCGUGGGGAGCAAACAGGAUUAGAUACCCUAGUAGUCCCUGAGCGGGCUGGCAAGGCGCAU
rnacentral:rRNA from 1 species